GGGAGUGAUCUCACCGGAGAAAAGGUCACGGGCUGUAAAACCGUCGGCUCAGCCUACGCAGGUUCAAGUCCUGCACCUGCCA
rnacentral:tRNA from 1 species